rnacentral:rRNA from 1 species
AUAGAGACAGUUGUUAUUUCAUCAAUUCAUUCAUUCAAUUCUUCAAUUAAAAGACAAUUUAUUAUGCUACCUUUGUACAGUCAAUAUACUGCAGCUAUUUAAAUUUAUUUCAUGGAGCAGAUCGACCUAAAAUUAUAUUCAAUAGGCCAUGUUUUUGUUAAACAGGUGAAUAAUCAAUUUUGCCGAGUUCCUUUAAAUUAUAUAUAUAUAAAUAAUUUAUAUAUUAUUAAAUAUACUUUUAUUACUAAUUUAAUCAUUAUCACUAUAUUUCAAAAAUUAAAAUAUAUAUUUUUAUAGAAUAAAUAAAAUUUAAAAUUUAAAUUUUUUAAAUUAAUAACUAAAUUAUUAAAUUUUUUAUAUUAAUAAAAAAUAUUAACUUCAUAAUAUUAUAAAUAAAAUCAAAAAUUUUUAUAAAUAAAUUUAUAGUUUAUCCCAUAAAUUUUUAAUAUAAAAAUUAAUACUAUAAAUAAAUUUUAAUGUAUUAAAAAUUUUAUAUCUAAAUUAAAUUUAUUUCUAAAAAAACUAGAUAUCAAUAACUUCGAAUGACAUUUAAUCUCUAAAUUUAUAUUUAUAAUUUUUAUGCAACAAAAAAAAUAUUAUAAACUUAGCUCACUUAUUUUCGAGAUAUUUAAAUUUAUUAAAUAAAUUUUAAU